CAGUUUCAGCCUUGAUACCUGUGGCAUGAAGUAACAUAUGAUGAAGAAAAAUGGCCGACCCUUUCCAAGGAGCUCCAACUUCCAAUCUAUACACGUAGAGUCCUGGCGCCAGCACUCACAUGCAGGGCAUGCCAAAAGGGACAGCCAUCCCAGCCCUGGCACAGCACAUGGAGUGAGACGUUUGACCCUACUUGAAAUCAACCAGUAGAUUAGCAACAAAUGUCACCUGGUAUUCCUGCUCAUGAUACUAACAUCCAUGUCAGUCAACAGAUCACAGGAGUCAGAAGAGUUCUGAAGUCCGAGACCUGAAAGUAGACACCCAGGGAGAACCAGAACCUUCUGGGCAGCCUACCUGAGCUGUGAUGGAGCAACAUCCUUGGGAUGCCACAGGUACUUAUUCUGCUUCCAGGAACACCGAGAUGAGUAGCAAGAAGGGCCUCACCAGAAGCCGUGAGGAUGACAGACUCGUGUUCUCAGACGUCUUGUCCUCUAGAACCCUGAGAUAAGUAAACAUUUUUCUUUAUAACAUACCCAGUUUGUGGUGUUCUGUUAGAGUAGCAGGGAACAGAAUAACACAAAGCCAGUGCUGACAUGUAUGAAGAUGUCACCACUUAGUUGGAUUCUUUCAUGAAAAAUCAAUCAGCCAACAGUCUUAGUUUCUCAGGUAAAGAUGGAGAAACUGGAAGAAAUUUUCUUUCUUAAUUUGUCCCCAAGGCCCACACUUGUACAUGUGCCUUCUUUUUUAUUUUAAGUUCUACAAUACUUAGAACUCUGCCUCUGUUUCCAGAAACAGAGACUUAGACUGAGGUAGUUCAGAAAGUUAAUGGAAAGAAAGAAAAGCAAAAAAGUAUCAAAUGCUUCUAUUUUAGUCAGCUAUUUCCCUGCUGUGACUAACUGACCCCAAUAAAGGAGGACAAUAAAGGAGGAAGAGUUUAUUUAAGGGCUCAUGGUUUCUGAGGUCCUUGGAAGGCCAGCUCCAUUCCUUGGGGCUCCA